UCUCCGUAGGUGAACCUGCGGAAGGAUCAUUAAAGUUAUAGUUACCCGGCCCUCUUUGCUGGGGUUUUCUAUAUCUCCCUUUGUCUAUUACGCCUUCGUUGCUUUGGCAGGCCUGUUCUCGGACUCCUUGCUCCGGCCCGCCCGUGCAUCCCAGUGGACUUAAACACCUGUUGUAAAUUUCGACAGCGUACCACUUAACUCCUAAAACUUUGAACAACGGAUCACUUGGUUCUGGCACACGUCAGAAACCCAGCCAAAGGGUCGUACCUCGUAUGCAAA
rnacentral:misc_RNA from 1 species